GAGUAAAUACGUGAGUGACCUGCCCCUUGACUCUGGGAUAAAGCCUGGGAAACUGGGUCUAAUACUGGAUAUGACGCGCUCUCGCAUGGGGGUGUGUGGAAAGGUUUUUCUGGUUUUGGAUGGGCUCACGGCCUAUCAGCUGGUUGGUGGGGUAAUGGCCUACCAAGGCGACGACGGGUAGCCGGCCUGAGAGGGUGACCGGCCACACUGGGACUGAGACACGGCCCAGACUCCUACGGGAGGCAGCAGUGGGGAAUAUUGCACAAUGGGCGCAAGCCUGAUGCAGCGACGCCGCGUGAGGGAUGACGGCCUUCGGGUUGUAAACCUCUUUCAGCACGGAAGAAGCGAAAGUGACGGUACGUGCAGAAGAAGCGCCGGCUAACUACGUGC
rnacentral:rRNA from 1 species